rnacentral:rRNA from 1 species
GGUGAACGCUAGCGGCAGGCUUAAUACAUGCAAGUCGAGGGGCAGCAGGUCUGUAGCAAUACAGAUGCUGGCGACCGGCAAACGGGUGCGGAACACGUACAGAACCUUCCUUCGAGCGGGGAAUAGCCCAGAGAAAUUUGGAUUAAUACCCCAUAGUGUACUGAAGAGGCAUCUCUUUGGUGUUAAAGAUUUAUCACUUGAAGAUGGCUGUGCGGCUGAUUAGGUAGUUGGCGGGGUAACGGCCCACCAAGCCUGCGAUCAGUAACUGGUGUGAGAGCACGACCAGUCACACGGGCACUGAGACACGGGCCCGACUCCUACGGGAGGCAGCAGUAAGGAAUAUUGGUCAAUGGACGAAAGUCUGAACCAGCCAUGCCGCGUGAAGGAUGAAGGUCCUCUGGAUUGUAAACUUCUUUUAUAUGGGACGAAAAAGGGGCUUUCUAGCUCAACUGACGGUACCAUUUGAAUAAGCACCGGCUAACUCCGUGCCAGCCGCCGCCGUAA